GUGAGUAAUGCCUAGGAAAUUGCCCUGAUGUGGGGGAUAACCAUUGGAAACGAUGGCUAAUACCGCAUAAUGCCUACGGGCCAAAGAGGGGGACCUUCGGGCCUCUCGCGUCAGGAUAUGCCUAGGUGGGAUUAGCUAGUUGGUGAGGUAAUGGCUCACCAAGGCGACGAUCCCUAGCUGGUCUGAGAGGAUGAUCAGCCACACUGGAACUGAGACACGGUCCAGACUCCUACGGGAGGCAGCAGUGGGGAAUAUUGCACAAUGGGCGCAAGCCUGAUGCAGCCAUGCCGCGUGUGUGAAGAAGGCCUUCGGGUUGUAAAGCACUUUCAGUCGUGAGGAAGGUAGUGUAGUUAAUAGCUGCAUUACUUGACGUUAGCGACAGAAGAAGCACCGGCUAACUCCGUGCCAGCAGCCGCGGUAAUACGGAGGGUGCGAGCGUUAAUCGGAAUUACUGGGCGUAA
rnacentral:rRNA from 1 species